rnacentral:rRNA from 1 species
GACGAACGCUGGCGGCGUGCCUAAUACAUGCAAGUAGAACGCACAGUUUAUACCGUAGCUUGCUACACCAUAAACUGUGAGUUGCGAACGGGUGAGUAACGCGUAGGUAACCUGCCUGGUAGCGGGGGAUAACUAUUGGAAACGAUAGCUAAUACCGCAUAAUAUUAAUUAUUGCAUGAUAAUUGAUUGAAAGAUGCAAUUGCAUCACUACCAGAUGGACCUGCGUUGUAUUAGCUAGUAGGUGAGGUAACGGCGCACCUAGGCGACGAUACAUAGCCGAACUGAGAGGGUGAUCGGCCACACUGGGACUGAGACACGGCCCAGAAUCCUACGGGAGGCAGCAGUAGGGAAUCUUCGGCAAUGGACGAAAGUCUGACCGAGCAACGCCGCGUGAGUGAAGAAGGUUUUCGGAUCGUAAAGCUCGGUUGUAAGAGAAGAACGGGUGUGAGAGUGGAAAGUUCACACUGUGACGGUAUCUGACCAGAAAGGGACGGCUAACUACGUG